GUCGAACGGAGAUUAUACGCAGAGGCGAUUUCGGUCAAAUCAUGUAAAAUCUUAGUGGCGGACGGGUGAGUAACGCGUGGGUAACCUGCCUUACACUGGGGGAUAACACUUAGAAAUAGGUGCUAAUACCGCAUAAGCGCACGAAGCCGCAUGGAUUUGUGUGAAAAACUCCGGUGGUGUAAGAUGGACCCGCGUCUGAUUAGCUUGUUGGCGGGGUAACGGCCCACCAAGGCGACGAUCAGUAGCCGGCCUGAGAGGGUGGACGGCCACAUUGGGACUGAGACACGGCCCAAACUCCUACGGGAGGCAGCAGUGGGGGAUAUUGGACAAUGGGGGGAACCCUGAUCCAGCGACGCCGCGUGAGUGAAGAAGUAUUUCGGUAUGUAAAGCUCUGUCAGCAGGGAAGAAAGAAAUGACGGUACCUGACCAAGAAGCCCCGGCUAACUACGUGCCAGCAGCCGCGGUAAUACGUAGGGGGCAAGCGUUAUCCGGAAUUACUGGGUGUAAAGGGAGCGUAGACGGUUAAGUAAGUCUGGAGUGAAAGGCCGGGGCCCAACCCCGGGACUGCUCUGGAAACUAUUCAACUUGAGUGCAGGAGAGGUAAGCGGAAUUCCUAGUGUAGCGGUGAAAUGCGUAGAUAUUAGGAGGAACACCAGUGGCGAAGGCGGCUUACUGGACUGUAACUGACGUUGAGGCUCGAAAGCGUGGGGA
rnacentral:rRNA from 1 species